rnacentral:lncRNA from 1 species
AUAUAAGUCAUUUGGAUAGUCAUAUAGAGGUGAGGAUAGGAUUGAAAUGAUCUAACAUGGAGCCAAAAAUUGCAGAGGAGGUGGUAAACUUUAAGGUACAUGGUCGGUAUCCUGAGGGUUUGACCGCCAAGGAGCGAUAUACAAUCAGAAGGAGAGCGGAAAACUUCAAAAUAAAGGGUAAGGAUGCAUGUUCUAUCAACCCUUGAACACAACAAUAAUCUGCUUUGGUUUAGCUACCUACAAAACUAACACUGUACCACUCACUCAUCAGAUGGGGACCUGCACUAUGUUUGCAGACGGAAGAAGGAUGGCUCUGAGCACCUGGCCAAAGUAGUAAUGACUGCAGUGGAGGCCAACUCCAUCUUUGAGGAGUUCCACUGCAGUCAUUUUGGUGGGCACUGUGGUGUGGAGAAGACCCACAGUGCCAUCAUCUCCAGGUAUUAUUGGCCAGGGAUGUUGGAAGACAUCCGCAAAUGGGUUGCUCAGUGUCCCCAGUGCCAAACAAAGAGGGCAGCCCUUAAAGAAAAGAAGCAAUACAACCCAAUCGAGGUAGAAACAGUCAUGGCAGACAGUCAGCUCUCAAACACAUCACUGAUCACAUUCUCAUGUCCUAUUGUCUUUUUUUUCAGGUGACUGAGCCUCUUGAGCUUGUGGGGAUGGACUUGGUGGGUAAACUUACACUCACAGGUGGUGGCAACCAGUACAUAUGUGUCAUGGUUGAUUAUUUCACCAAAUGGGCAGAGGCCUACCCACUAAAGAGCAAAACAGCAGUCGAGGUGACAAAUUGUAUUCUUGAUUUCUUUUACAAAUUUGGUGCACCUAAAAGACUGCUAACAGACCAGGGCAAAGAGUUCUGCAAUAAGGUACAGUGAUGAUGCCUCAUUUGUCCCCAGUAUGCAACCACUGCUGUACUGACUUAUGUCAUGUCAUCUUUAUCCAACUAAUCACUUGAAGGUCAACUAUGAGCUUUGUGAAAGCUGGGCAUUGGAAGGAGCCUUUGUUCCCCAUAUCACCCACAAACCAAUGGCCUUGUGGAGAAACUUAAUGGAACAAUACAGAGGUAUAAUUUGUUUUUCAAUACCGGAAUGAG